GACGAACGCUGGCGGCGUGCUUAACACAUGCAAGUCGAACGGAAAGGCCCUGCUUUUGUGGGGUGCUCGAGUGGCGAACGGGUGAGUAACACGUGAGUAACCUGCCCUUGACUUUGGGAUAACUUCAGGAAACUGGGGCUCAUACCGGAUAGGAGCUCCUGCUGCAUGGUGGUGGUUGGAAAGAUUCGGCGGUUGGGGCUGGACUCGCGGCUUAUGAGCUUGUUGGUGGGGUAGUGGUUUACCAAGGCUUUGACGGGUAGCCGGCCUGAGAGGGUGAACGGCCACAUUGGGACUGAGAUACGGCCCAGACUCCUACGGGAGGCAGCAGUGGGGAAUAUUGCACAAUGGGCGGAAGCCUGAUGCAGCAACGCCGCGUGCGGGAUGACGUGCUUCGGGUUGUAAACCGCUUUCGCCUGUGACGAAGCGUGAGUGACGGUAAUGGGUAAAGAAGCACCGGCUAACUACGUG
rnacentral:rRNA from 1 species